AUGAUUUUUCUUGCGAACAUUCACCUGCCUGUAUAUUUGACUGCACCCCCUGAUAAUUCACCACUCACCAGCAACCGGAAGCGCUCCACCAUCGCCAUGUCACAGAUCACUGCCACUUUCAUGGCCCUUGCCUUGUGCUUCGCCCCUGCAGUGGGUGCAGCGGCGACUCUCUCGGCGCGGCGUCCGCUACGGGGCAAGGACACGCUGGUCUCGGCACAGGGCAAGUUCGAGCUCGGUCUCUUCACCCCUGCUGGUAGCUCCGGCGACAGGCUCUACCUCGGGAUCUGGUACAAGAACAUCCCCGACCAGACCAUCAUCUGGGUGGGCAACCGCGUGAGUCCCCUGUCUUCUCUCGCCUUCGCUGAGCUUCGUGUGUCCGCUGAAGACGGCAACCUCGAACUCGUCGGUCCAACCGGCGCCUCCGCCGCGCCGGUCGUUGUGUGGUCUUCAAACCUGCCGUCUCCCUUGUCGCCAGGCUCAAACAACACGGCGGAGAUCCGCGACAACGGCAACCUGGUCCUUGUCGACGGCGGCAACUCCUCCAACGUGCUGUGGCAGAGCUUCGACCACCCGACGGACACGCAGGUGCCCGAAGCGUGGGUCGGGGAAAACAAGCUCACCGGCGAGUACCAGGUGCUGACGUCGUGGCGGAACGCCCAAGACCCCGCACCGGGGAUGUUCAGCGACACAGUGGACCCCAACGGCACCAGCGAGAUCUUCUUCAUGUGGAACCGGUCCCGUGUGUACAUGCGGACCGGCGUCUGGAACGGGCGCGUCUUCGCGAGGAUGCCAGAGGCGACGAAAAACACCAUCUACAACACGACAUAUGUCGAGACCCCGGCGUACCGGCGCGUCAUCAACGAGCUCUACGACAAUGCAACCAUAACGCGCAUCGUGCAUGAUCUCACCGGCCAGUCGAAAAUGUACAUCUGGAUGCCCACGAGCCAGAACUGGCAAAUCUUGUGGACUGGUCCCAUGUUGCAGUGCGCCGUGUACGCGCUUUGCGGCGCGUUCGGCGUUUGCGAUCAGGGAGGCAAGCUGCCUUGCCAUUGUCCACCCGGGUUUGCUCCAGUGUCGGAGGCAGACUGGAUGCUCAGCGAUUGGAGCAGUGGUUGCCGCCGGCGCUCGCCGCUCACUUGCGCGCACAACGGAUCGACGACGGACGGGUUCCUGACACUGCCAGACGUGAAGCUCCCCGAUGACUCGCUCGCCGUGGGCGCUGCCCAGAGCAAAGUAGAGUGUGAAUCAGCUUGCCUAAAGAGCUGCUCUUGCCAAGCCUACACCUUCUCUAUCGGGGAGUGCACUGUCUGGCACGGAGAGCUCCGCAACCUUCAGCAGCUCUACAUGGACUCCGACAACCCCUGGUCAGACCUGCACCUCCGGCUUUCAGAAAGAGGAUUGCAAGAUCUCCGUAGUGUAGACAAGAAGAAAAUGGGAAGAAAGUUAUGGCUUGUCCUUGGCAUCAUAUUGGCUGGUGUUGCAGCAGUGGGCGCGUUGGUUAUACUAGCAUGGAGGAUUGUUCUUGCCCGGAGGAGGAGACUGGUCAGUAUGGCAAAUGAGAAUGUAUUCUCCUUGGCCGUGUACAGCUACGGCGACCUCCGUGCCGCCACCAAGAACUUCUCGGAGCGUCUGGGCCGCGGAAGCUUCGGCUCGGUGUACCGCGGGGUCCUGAAGCAGCAUAAGGGAGACAAUUCAAUUAGAGUCCAAGUAGCAGUGAAGAAGCUUGAAAGUUUUGGGCGGCAGGGUGACAAGCAGUUCCGGAAUCCGGACGGAGGGCUGGCCUACCUGCACCACGGCUGCCGCGAGUGCAUCAUACACUGCGACGUCAAGCCGGAAAACAUCCUGCUGGACGAGGACAUGUCCCCGAAGAUCGCCGACUUUGGGAUGGCGAAGCUGAUGGGGAGGGACUUCAGCCGCGCGCUGACGACGAUGCGGGGUACCGUCGGGUACCUCGCGCCAGAGUGGAUCUCUGGGCAGUCAAUCAGCAUCAAGGCAGACGUGUACAGUUUCGGCAUGGUGCUCUUCGAGCUCAUCUCAGGACGACGUAACUCCAAUGGGUACAGCGAGGUGGAGGUGGCAGGGACUGGUGGGAGCGAGUCCUUGACCUUCUUCCCAGUGUGGGCCGCUGGAAAGGUUUUGGAAGGCGAGGUCGGCGCCGUGGCUGACCCGCGGCUGCGCUGCGAGGUGAUGUCGGAGGAGCUGGAGCGGGCGUGUAGAGUGGCGUGCUGGUGCAUCCAAGACGAGGAGGAGCAGCGCCCGACCAUGGCGCAGGUCGUGCAGGCGCUGGAAGGUGCCGUUCACAUCCAAGUGCCGCCGGUGCCACGAACCCUGCAGCACCUUGUCACCCUCACGUAG
rnacentral:rRNA from 1 species